GGCCUAACACAUGCAAGUCGAGCGGUAACAUGUUUAGUAGCAAUACUAGAUGAUGACGAGCGGCGGACGGGUGAGGAAAACGUGGGAAUCUACCCUCAAGCGGGGGACAACCAAGGGAAACUUUGGCUAAUACCGCAUAAACUCGAAAGAGCAAAGCUGCCGCAAGGUGGCACUUGAGGAGGAGCCUGCGUCCGAUUAGCUAGUUGGUGAGGUAAGAGCUCACCAAGGCGAUGAUCGGUAACUGGUCUGAGAGGACGACCAGUCACACUGGGACUGAGACACGGCCCAGACUCCUACGGGAGGCAGCAGUGGGGAAUAUUGGACAAUGGGGGCAACCCUGAUCCAGCGAUGCCGCGUGAGUGAAGAAGGCCUUCGGGUCGUAAAGCUCUUUAGGUUGGGACGAAGUUUGGUGGAGGAUAAUGCCAUCAAGUUGACGGUACCGACAGAAUA
rnacentral:rRNA from 1 species